rnacentral:ncRNA from 1 species
AAAAAAUUUUAUUUUUGUUUGGAUAAUGAAUGUAUUUAUUUUUUACAUGUAAAUUUUAGUAUUUUUGUUUAUUAUAUUAAAAAUAUAAUAAAAUUUAGUAUAUAUAUAAAUUUAUUCGCAGUAUUUAAUUUUAAAUAUUAAAGAAAUUUAGAUUUAGAAAUAAAUAAUAAUAUUAACUUAAUUUGUGCCAGCAGUUGCGGUUAUACAAAUAAUGUAAUUUAUUAUUUUUAAUUAAUAAUUAAUUGAUUUUUUUUUAUAAUAUAGUAUAAAUUAUUAAGUGAAAUUUUAAUUUAUAAAAAAUAUAAAUAUUAAGAUUAUGAAGUUAUUAAAUUUUAAAAAAAACUAGGAUUAGAUACCCUAUUAUAAAAAUGUAAAUUAAUAAUAUUAAAUUAUUAAUAGAUAUAAUCUUUAAAGUUAAAAAUUUUGGCGGUAUUUUAGUCUAUUCAGAGGAACUUGUCCUAUAAUUGAUAAUCCACGAUUAGAAAUACUUAUUUAAUUAAUUUGUAUAUCAUCGUAGUUGAAUAUUUUAUAAGAAAAAUCAUAUUCAUAAUUUUUUAUAAAAAUAAAAAUCAGAUCAAGGUGCAGUUUAUAGAUAAGAAGAGAUGAGUUACAAUAAUUAUAUUAAUGGAUAAAUAACUUUAAAAUUUUUUUGAAAUUGGAUUUGAAUGUAAUAAAAUUUAUUUAGAUUUUAUGAUUUAAGCUCUAAAAUAUGCACAUAUCGCCCGUCGCUCUCAAUUUUAUUUGAGAUAAGUCGUAACAAAGUAAAUGUACUGGAAAGUGUAUUUAGAUUACA